rnacentral:rRNA from 1 species
UACGGAGGGUGCGAGCGUUGUCCGGAAUCACUGGGCGUAAAGGGCGCGUAGGCGGCCUGAUAAGUAGGGGGUGAAAUCCUGCGGCUUAACCGCAGGGCUGCCUUCUAAACUGUCAGGCUAGAGCACAGUAGAGGCAGGUGGAAUUCCCGGUGUAGCGGUGGAAUGCGUAGAGAUCGGGAAGAACAUCAGUGGCGAAGGCGGCCUGCUGGGCUGUUGCUGACGCUGAGGCGCGACAGCGUGGGGAGCAACAGG